GACUCUUUUCAUUUCGUUUUCUCUAUUUCGAUAAGGCUGAGGGGGAGCUCGAGCGGGGAGCAGAGGAUGCGAUUCUCCCCGUCCAUGGCGAUUUCGAGAUCUCCCACCGCCUGAGCUUGAUCUCUCUUCCCUUUCUCUUCGACACCUGUGUCAUGGUUAGUUGUUCCUCUCUCUCUCUCUCUCUCUCUCUCUCUCUCUCUCUCGCGUGUUUGUUGUUCUGCUUGUGUUGUUCCAGAUCUAGGUCAGUUCAUGUCGCCCUCUCGCCAUCUGAUGCAGCCGCUGGUAUGUGUGAUUUGCUGGGCCUUGUGAUACACGCGUGCGUGCUCCUGUUGUAGUUUGUAGAUGUAACGGUUGUUUUCCUUUUCUACGUAGAUAUAACAUGCGGGAUUCUGUAGGUGUAGAUGUAGCAUGCGGGAUUCCAUGGCAGAUUUCUGUAGAUGUAGCUACACGUGCUGGAUUUUCUGUAGAUGUAGUGUGCGGGAUUUCUAUAGAUGUUCUGCUCAUGUUCCUGUAGGUGAGGUUUGUAUAGAUGCCUAGCUCUUUCCUGCUCAUGUUCUGAUGCUCCUGUGUGUAUUCCUGUUCAUGUACUAAGUACAUUUCGCCUCCUGAUUUGUUCUUGCGGGAUGUAGGUGUUUAGUUCCCCUUGUACCAUGUUUGUUUACUUCUUGCAGGGAUGGUUUGAGUUUAAUUUCAGUGUAAUUUUAUCUCAGCCUUUGAUGGUCAUUUACUCAGUUGUUGUGAUUGGAUUUGCAGUGUUAUUUUACACUGUAAUUCAUCUCAGACUUACAAUGUAAUUUUGUCCCAGACUUGCAGUGUAAUCUCAGUACUGUAUCAGUGUAAUUUCUUUCAGAUUUUGCAGCGUAAUUAACCUGAUUUUUGAAUUGUAAUUUAUGCCAGUCUUUCAGUGUAAUUUGUCCCAGAUUUACAUUGUAAUUUGUCCCGGAUUUACAGUGUAUAUUGAGUGGAUAUUACAGUGUUAUUUGGUUGUAAUUCCAGUGUAGACUUACAGUGUAAUUUUAUCUCAGUAUUGCAGUAUAAUUUGUCCCAAAUUUAUGGUGUAAUUUCUACCAGAUUUAUAAUUUAAUUAACCUUUUUCAGUGUGGUAUUGAGUGAAUUUUCUAUGUUAUUUGAUUGUGAUUGCAGUGUAGUUCAUCCCAGCAUUACAGACUUCUAAUUGUAAUUCACCCAUUAAUUCCAGUGGAUUUAUAGUGUAAUUCGAAUGUAGUUUCAGUGUAAUUUACCCCAACAUUAGAGUGUAGUUUACCCAAUAAUUCCAGUGUGGGUUGUUAUUGGAUUUUGAGUGGUUUUGUCAGUGUAUUUUAGCCCGUCUUGCACACUGUUUGCACAUUAAUUUUGUCUAUUUUCCAAUGUAAUUAAGUCCAGUUUGCUCAGUAAUACCAUUGGUUCCUAUAUAUUAUUUAGCUAGUAUUCAAUGUUCCUUGCUUGGUUCAGUACUGUAGGGCGGUUUUCAUUUAGCUCACUUUAAUGCCUUCUUCAUUGAGGAAUUCAUCGUCUCCUUGUUCAAGUGAGUCUUCUGGUUCUUUUUUUUCUCCUUCUCCAUUCCUUUGACCCGUGCUUGAGUUCGUGUUAGCUGCUGCUCUACUGCAAUCAACAUCUUCAGGCACCUGCAACUUUUAGGGAUUUCUUUUAGUUAUUUUCUUCUGAAAUGUUAUGAGUUUCUCUUAGGUUCAUCAUUGUAUUUCUGAAUUUUGUGGUGUGUACAUGUUGCAGAUUCAUGUUAUAGAACAGGUUUGUGUCCCAGGGAUUACAUCCUCCUCCUCCAUCUUCGCUUGCUGCCACUUAAUUAUGCAAGUUUGCCUCCAAUGUCUGCAAAUAAUUAUAGGUGAUCUUGAUCUCUCUAUUUUGAAGAUGAAGAAAAUUCCUUCAGAUUUUGUUAAUGAAAGAGGUGAAGAGAGAUGAUGGUGAGGAGUUUGUGUACGAUUGUUGCUGACCUGUUGAUUCCCCGAUCUCCCAUGGCAGCCUCUCCCUUCCCCAUGGGCGCCUUCCAGAUUUGUUCUAGGCUGUUAGGUGAGAUCUUUGUAGUGGUUGAUGGCAAUUGGCGUGUUUUGUUGUGCCUGGGAUCGGACAAAUCGGGUCAGAUGUUUACCCGACCCGUUUAGACGAUCAGAAGGUUUUUUUUAGCUAUCUGCUGAUUUUCCUGCUCGCUCACGUGUAAUGUGUUGAUUGGUCAGGAAAUUUGACUGUUUUCGAAUUGAAAAACAGUCAAAUGUCAAAUAGACAGUCCCUUACUUUA